AAUAUGACUAUGGGAAAUAUCAUUGAUUUAUUUUGAAGCUAACAACUGUAGAUGGAUGGAGUCUUUGUUGUCAUCCCCACAGAUAGACAAAGGUAUGUCACAAUCUUACAGUUUUUAGUUUAUCGCCUGCGUUCAGUUACAUGAAACUAGGAUCUUUUGCACCUUCAAUGUUGUGUGAGCGGCUAACUGAACAUGGCUCAAAAUGUUCUCCUGAGCUUGUACAACUAUAGAGUUAGGAUUUUAAUGCAUGAUAAAGACACAAAUACACAAUUUCCUCUCUAAUAUUCUUACUUAUGAUGCCAGCCCCUACUGAUUAAUGACUUGUUUUAGUGCCCCAUCGUUUGCCAGAGUUAUGUGGUAAGUCAUGUGCAUCCGUAAAUAUAUGAACUGGAAAAUCCACACUUGAGCCUUUACUUUUUCAAGCAUCACACUUGAUUUCGGGACAUGAAGCUUGUCUUGACCAUAGUUCUUGCUAAUUUUGCUCUGUAUAUCGCAGCCCAUCCAUCCAUCCCUGUUAGGCGGAACAACUGGAUGUUGCAUACUACUACUGGCGUGCUAACAACAUGCGUCGAAAUGACAACUGUAUACUAGGAGACUGAAGAAGCCAGAGCAGUUGGCCACCUCCCUGCCUCUACAUGUUAAUUGCCCUUCUUGGCGUCCUGAUGCCAUUUGUACAGAAGUAAUCUCAAGUAAAAGCCAACCAAUAUUUUGCACAGGAGAAACAGUUGAGCCAAAUUCUUUUAACAGCUACCCGAGGUUGUGAAGCGACGGCUGCAAGUUACCAUGGAAACUCGUACAAAGAGCAUGGUCCCUAAUUAAAUUAGCUCUCCCGAUAUGUAUAAUUUCUCAUUCAGAUGUACCAUCCCAGUUGUUCAUAUUGAAUCGGUAUAUAUACAACUUGUCUGCGUUACUGACGGUAGCCGUAUGUAUUCCUCCAAGUUCCAUAUGCAUUCUGCCAGCAUGUUGCCAUGUAGUGAGCCACACCAACCGCAUCAAUUCACCCGUAUGCCGUGCGAAAGGUGGUGCGCUGGGCAUAAAGGUUGGGUGUUUGCAUCGUCGCGUCUGCUUGUCGCCAGGAUUCGGUGUGCUCCUAGUCAGCCCAGUUUGGCAGUAUGCAACUAUGCAUGUGUCCAGUUGCCCUCCUUUCCACGGUAACAAAGUCCGUCCUGGCGAUCUACCGCUGCUCCAGCUCCCAGAUCGGCCCG
rnacentral:lncRNA from 1 species